UAUACUAAGUACUUGGGUACCUAAUUGCUGUGAUAAUAAACAAAAAAAAGUAAAUAAAUAGGUGCAAUGGAGUGUCUGUCGAGCGGUGCCCGGCGGCUCGGCUGGUACGCGUCAGACAUCUUCAACAUGUCGCUCAUGACCAUUGUCUUCUGCUUCUCAGUCAUCAUCCUGUUCACACUCUUCGUCAAGAUUUACUAACUAGCCUCGGAUAUGGCUGGAUGGCCUGAAACAUAACGCUAAUGAAGAACGUUUAUAACAUACGUAGUGCAGUUGGAGAUUCGACUCAGUGGCUAUGGAGUUAGAGUGCGACGCGGUAGGGGCCGAUGGGCACGAAUUGUUCGCUCUGCAUGUGGCUGCGGUUGUGCGCGGGCCGGUAGCCCCACAGCUCCAUCGCCUCGGAG